GUAGGUGGGCGCCGCCCGCCUGGAGGGGGGACCCGGGGGAGGACCCCACGAGCCCGCGCCUGUGGGUGCUUCCGACGCGCGCUCCACCCCCGCCGCCGUGUGCCGCGUCCGUCAAGUGGGGCACCAGCCUCACCGUGGAGGUGACGGUGGUGGCGGUGUGUGCACGAAAGCGCUUUGUCGCUCUACGUGGUACUGUCGCUGGGCGGUGCUGCCCAAACGAACCCCAACCCGGGACCCAGGUAGCUGGCACCCCGCACCCGCCGCGUCUCAGCCUCGCUGGCGUUCUGGAGCGCCGUGUGCUAUGCGUAGGCGGUUACGACGGCGGCCGCCACGCACCCCGAUCUCCCCGCGCUGCAGCCCCCUUUCUGCGGGAGGGGAGUCUGUAGGUCACGGAUCCGAGGUGCGCCCUCAUCACCGAGGUUGACAGGCUAAGUCCUCCAGCGCAGUGCGCUGGCCGCCUCUCACUGGUGGAACUGGGCUGUAGUGGCAGCAGUCUGCUCUCUGGACUCCAUUCUGCCUCUGACCCUGAGCAGCAAGUCCCUUCUGUUUCUGAGCUGGGGCGUUUUGUGGUCCUCGUCUGAUCAGACGCUGUGCCAGUGAAAGUCUUGUGAAAAUCGCCAAGCACUGUACCCGAGUCAACAAUUAGAGUGUCGGGGUCGCACGUUUUCAUAAAGGACUCGGAGAACAUAGGGUUGGAGGAGAUGCAGACGUGACGGGAAGUGGGAGAAGCUGGCCGCAGCGGGAGUUCCAGAGCGCGCGAGGAGGCGCUGCCCGCCAGGAGGCUUUAAUGACAAAGGCCAAGAAGACCCAGAAGGGAGGCCAUUAGGAAGGAGGAGGACUGUGCUUGACAUCCAUUUGCUGCCCAAGGGCACAGAGCCAGGCACCUUGUCCUGACGGCCCCAAGGGGCAAACAUCUAACGUUCUUAGGGCUAAAAGGACCUCAAUGUGUAUGCUGAGCCCAAGGCAAAGAGGAAGCGGUUUUCUGUAUUAGAAUAAGAUGCCGUGAACCAACAAUAAAGACGUGAAUCAACAAUAAAGAUGGCAGCAGAUCACGCGGGAUCCC
rnacentral:lncRNA from 1 species